rnacentral:lncRNA from 12 species
GUGAUUGAUGUUGCCAGACAUGCCCACAAGUUUUGUAACACAGAAGAUGAGGACACCAUGUAUCUUCGGAGGUCACAUUCUGAGGUUCCUGGAAGGACAUGGCUUUAAGGGAUACCAUCUAACCCAGUACAACCAGUAAACAAGCAAAGAACCCUGCCUGUAUGGAGCUUGUAUUCUACUAUUGAGCUAGGAAAAGUGACAGGCUGACAUGGUACUAUAUUAAGAAACCAAACUCUUGUCAACCCAUACUAAAGAAAAGAAUCAGAAGUACCGCUAGGUGACAUUCAAUAGCAAAUCAGGCCUUGAGCACCAUUUUGACAACUGGGCUUCUAGAAUUGUGCAGCAGAAGAGAAAGUUGGUUAUAUACAAGAUACAACUUUAGGCUGAUAAUACAACCAGAUCAUAAAAUUUGAUGAAAUCUACAAAGGAAUAUCCUUUGGGAUACAUGGGGAAACCCUUCAUUAUGAUAUAUAGGAAGUUUACAAGUAAGAUGUUCAAUCUAAAAAAAAAAAAAAAAGCUAAUUAAGACACUGUAGUACUACAUAAAACUAGGUUAAUAAGCCAAAUGAACAUAACAGAGUCCAGAAAGAGGCCCACACAUAUGAACGACUGAUUUUCCACAAUGAUGCAUAUAGACAAUUCAGUGGAGAAAGUACUGCUUUCAACAAAUGGUACUGAACAACUGAAUAUCCAUACAGAAAAAACCAACUUCAAUCCAUAAUUUGCACCAUCUACAAAAAUUAAUUCAACAAGGAUCGUAAACCUAAAUGUAACCCCCAAAACUUUAUAACUUUUAGACAAAGACAAAAGAAAAUAUCUGUCAUCUUGGAUUAGACAGGGGUUUCUCAGAUAUGACACAAAAAGCACAAUACAUAAAAUUUUAAAAAUUAACAAAUCUGACAUUAUCAACAUUGAAGUCUUCAUUUAUCAAAAGAUAUAUACUAGGAGAAUUAAUCAGCAAGCUACCUAGUGGGUAAGAUAUUUAUAAACUACAUACCUGGAAAGGAUCUAUAUCCAGAAUCUAUUUUUAAA